CCACGGCGGGCAGGGCUGGGCAGGGCUGGGCAGGGCUGGGCGGCUGGCUCCUGCCC
rnacentral:miRNA from 1 species